GCGCUUUCAUUAGCGCGGCGGCCAAACCUUACACACAGUGCUUAGUUUUUUUCUAACAUUGCUUUGGGUUAAGCUUCAUUGCUUAGCCCAGAGGUUUACAAAAACACAAGAUUUUAUUAUCUUUUAUUACAAACCUUUAGUCAAGAAGUUUUCUUAAAAACAAAUCUUCAAAACUUUCAACAACGGAUCUCUUGGUUCUCGCAACGAUGAAGAACGCAGCGAAAUGCGAUACGUAAUGUGAAUUGCAGGUUUUCGUGAAUCAUCGAAUCUUUGAACGCAUAUUGCGCCCUCUGGUAUUCCGGAGGGCAUGCCUGUUUGAGCGUCAUUUCUCUCUCAAACCCUCGGGUUUGGUAUUGAGUGAUACUCUCUUUCUGGGUUAACUUGAAAUACUGUUGGCAAGAGCUGCUUCAGCAGAUCUCCUACUGAACUAACGUUUCUAGGUUCUACCAAUUCGUUUUGUUUCUAUAGGUAUGUUCUCUCUAGCUAUAGGUUCGGCCUAACAAUUUCACAUAAGUUUGACCUCAAAUCAGGUAGGACUACCCGC
rnacentral:rRNA from 1 species